CAUAAUAUAAUAUAAAUAUUAUGUAUGUAUGUAUUUUAUUUAGAAUAAGUAUGAAUAAAAGACUUAAUUGUACUAUUAUUCCGUCCAGUCCAAGAGCUGUAUCCAUUGCCUUCCCUAAGAGGUAAGAUAUCUUGCAAAAUUCUGUCGAAAUCGUUUGAGCGGUUUUGGUAACAAACAGACAGAGUUACUUUCAAUUGCAUUCAAGUUAUCAUGCAACUGGAUUUCAGCCUUUAGUAGGCAGGUUUAGUUUAAACUUAAUAUAACUAUUUUUAUAUAAUAUUGUACCUAAUAGAAAUUUUUGUAACCCACCUCGGAAUAACAUUAGCGACAAGGUUGCCAAAUUAUAUAAUUUGUUAUGUUUACGUGUUUGCGUUCGGCGUACUGAUUUGUGUACAUAUAUUUUUUAAAUAACGAGCAAACGAGCAGGCGUGUCACAUGAUGUUAAAUGAUUACUGCCGUCCAUGAACAUUUGUAGCACUAGAGGAACCGCCGAUGCGUUGCCGGCCAAUAUUUCAAUAAAGGUCGUAGCUCACUUACACGAUACAGCUCCCGCACGAUAAAAGAAUAAACAUUCAAAUAUGGGCUUAAAGUCGUACUCUGUACAGUGAAAACAUAGAGUUGCAAAUAACGUGCAGCACGCGAGCUUGCCGUAAUCUAGCCAUUCGAUGGUUGACGUUUCGCUUACCGUGCGCUUCAAGCGAGUGCCGCACGCUGUAGCCGCGUGCGGGCCACUCGAGCAAGUUGUAACGUGCGCAGUAAGGAGACACCGUACUACUAGCUGUCAUCGCGUGGACAGCAAGCUUUCUGCUAGCUGUCGGCGCGUGGACAACUAGCGUUACCUUCGAUUUGAGGCGGAGCCGUGCGUGUGGUGUGUGGGAGCGGUGUCGUGUAAAUGAGCUACCGCCUUUAUUUAUUCAUUUACACGAAUGACAGCUGAUUUCUGUAAGUUUUAUAGCUAGUAGACAAUAGACACUUAGCAUUAUACAUAAAAUGCCUUUGCAUAUAUUAUAUCCCAGUUCUCAUAUAGGUACUUAGAUUUUUUGGUUACUAUUACCAACCAUAGGGACGCAAGCUUUGUGCAUUUAUUUGUAUAAAAAUAAGAGUAUAAUAAUUUAAUAUAUUGUGUAUUUUAAUGAAUCUCUAGUGACAUAGUGUAAUGAAUUUUAAUAUUUGUAUGACAAUGAUUAUUUAUCCGUCCAUUUUACAUUGAAUACUUAUUGUAUGUUUAUUACCGACCAUUCCGACGUGUGCCUCGAAUACUUAGCAAUAAAGUGUGGAUUUUUUAUGA